GGGGGGGGAAGCGAGAGUGAAGCUUUCUGCCUCUGAGGGAAGAAGCAAAGCAUUCGGAUAAUUAAAUGUGGUUGUCUUGGAGAGAUUCAAGAACAAUGCCAUGUGUGUAGAGCAGCCCUGCAGUCCUUGUUCUGCAGAGAAGACUGGAGACUUUUGUUCAGGAUCAAGGUAUUCAAGAAAAAUGACCUGCUCCAACAUCAGUUAUGUCCAGUGCAGAGCUGAUAUACACCAUCAGACACAUGCCUGUAACCAAGCCCUUCAACCGAACAAAGCAAGGACAGGAUUCAAGGCAGAGGAAGGAACUGCAGGGAUGCUUCCCGUUGAACAUACCACUUCCCACCUUCCUUCUUAAGCACAACAGACCAUGACAAAAUCAUUUCUAGAAAAUGUAAUUUCUUUAAAAAUAUAUACUUAGCUUCUUUUUAUUUCUAGAAACUGUUACAGAGAUGAGCAAAACUUAAUUAAAGUUUGUGCACCAAA